UUCCAGGGGUACAACAACAACAACUUUAUUGGCCACAUACGGCUUUAUACUUUUCCCCAUGCAAGGGGUGGAACACACAUGAAGACAAUGUCCCCACCCGGGGGUCAUAUAAGGGAACUGGAACCCCAGACCCUUUAUUCCCUGUUCCUGCCACUCAGUGACCCCUCCCACUCACAAGGGUCUUGUUCCCAGAGGUCUCUGUAUCUGGGGGAGACCUCAGACCUCUUUACCUCCCAGCGACAGAGAGCCUGCCAUCCUUCGCCACUCUCCCCUCUCAGGCACCCUCCUGAAAACAGUAACUACCAUGGACAGUCUUCGUUUCGCUGUCCCUGUGUGAAGUCCGGCAAGGGAAGCGUUGCUUUCGUGAUGUGAAUGUUCCUCCUGGCCGCCGUUCGUCUGUAUGACCGGCGGCCACCCAGAGUAGCACUAAUUUAUUACUUCCCUUGCGGUUUCACACUAUGUUGCCAGUUGCCACCAACUGAUUGGUGUGAAUAUUCGAAUGGGUGCCGGGGAGGUCCUCAUUCGGGAAUCGAACGAGGUAUGAAGCAGUCCGUGAAUGCUUCCCUUGGAUGGCAUUCUUCUAACGAAUAGGCAGCUACCAAGGGUCGGCAUGCGGCAAUGCUUCCCUUGUGGUUUGUGGUUUUGACACCUCAUUGCGAGGUGCGAACGUACUAAAACCACAUUCUAAAUAAGAUUUUGUGGUGGUCCACGUUCGGGCGGUGAAUGGAGUCCCGUUCGCGCUGGUACUCCUGAACGGAGAGCAGGCAGUUCUAUAGUUAUACAAAACACAAGGAACAAAAACACAGGGUCGAGCAAGGGGAAACACACAAAAGAGAUAUCAGUACAGUAACACACAUUUCAGGGCAACCGGGGCAAUUCAUAGUUUAGCGGGGGUUCCGCUACAUUGUGUUAUGUAGAAAACUUUUAAGGUGAGUCUGUGCAAUGUUACUUGUGGGGUGAACCCCUUGAUUGCCCCAACAUAGUGCGGAAUGUACGCAGAUUGAGGAAUGCAAACAGAAAAUCAACGGCAACAUCAGCACAGGUACAGAAGGGCAGCAUAAGGAAAUGUGUCCUUGAGAAAUGCGGGUAAUGUGCUCGGGGUAGCAUGGCGAUGUCAGCCAAUGCCUUGGCAUAGUGGGAGAGUCUCUGGGUAUUGCUGCAUGAGGAAGGUAUGCCAGGGUGUCAUUUCUGCCUCUCAAGGCCUUAGAGUGGGCCUGCGUUAAACAAGGAAUGCCUAUCACAAGGGAUGCCAAUCACAAACAAUUAAUAAAUUACAUUUAAAGGAACACUAUUGUCACCAGAACAACCACAACAUAUUAUAUUUGUUCUGGUGAGUAGAAUCAUUCCCUUCAGGCUUUUUGCAGUAAACACGGUCGUUUCCGAGAAAAGGCAUUGUUUACAUUACAGCCUAGUGAUAACUCCACUGGCCACUCCUCAGAUGGCUACAAGAGGUGCUUCCUUCAGUGUUUCCUCCCUCUGCAUGGAGACACUGAACAUUCCUCAUAAAGAUGCAUUGGCCAGGGAUGUGUUUUGCUUGUGCUGGCUCUGCUCUUGAUCUGCCUCCUUGACAAUCUCAGCCAAUCCUAUGGGAAAUCAUUGUGAUUGGCUCAGAUAAUGUGGGAAAGCAUGGUAAUUGGCUCUGAUAAUGUGGGACAGCAUGGUGCAGGGGCAGACUGACCAGUCGGGCACUUCGGACAUGGUCCGUGGGCCCGACCGGGAGGGGUGCACCCCGCCAGGGCCACCAUCAGGGGGCUUGUCAGCAGGGCUGGAUUGGCCCACCGGGGCCGCUGCAUCUGGGAACUGCGGAAGUAGGUGCCACCGGGUGGCCGGUCCGGUGGCACACUCUGAGGGGGCCGGCUGCGUUCCACGCUGCGAACUGUCAGCCGGGUGGCAGCCUCGCCGGUCCGGCGGCACUCCUGUCACUAAUGCUGAGGACGGAAGGAGGGAGGAGCAUGUCUCUCUCUCAUGCUCCCUUGCGGUUCCCACAUCCUGUGCUGGGAAUUGUGGGAACCGCGAGGGAGCAUGGUAGAGAAACAUGCUCCUCCCUCCUCCUCCUUCACUCCUCAGCAUUAGUGACAGGAGUGCCGCCAGACCGGCGAGGCUGCCACCCGGCUCAGAGCGUGGAACGGGGCCACCCCCAUCUGUCUUCUCUUGGUAAAUGGGAGGGGGGGAAAUAAAACAGAGAGGGGGAAUAGAUAGAGGCAGGGGAAGAAACAAACAGUGGGAGAAUAGAGAGACACACAGGGGGAGGGUAAGGGAAGAGACAGAGGGGGAGAGAGAGUGACACAGGGCAAGGAGGGAGAAAGACAGAGGAGGAAGAGUGAAACACAGGGGGAGAAAGAGGGGGAAUAGAGAGAUGGUGGAGUGGGGAGAAAGAGACAGAGGGUAAGAGAGAUGUGGGGUAGAGACAGACACAGGGAAAGGGGGAAGAAAUAGACAGUGGAAGAGAGACACAGGAAGAAAGGAGAGAGACACCAGGGGAGGGGGAGAAAGAGGCAGAGGGGGAAGAGAGACUGGGAAGGAGAGGGGAGACAUGGACACAGAGGAACAGUGAGGGGGGAGAAAGAAACAUACAGAGAGACUGGGGGAGACACAAAGGCACACAGAGGGGCUGUAUAUAUCACUGGUGGAUCCCCCCCGCCCCCGGCCGAUCUCUCUACCCGGUCUGCAGGCACUGUGCGGGCAGCUGGCAGCGGAGGGCGGAAGAGAGGACCCGGGAGCUCAGCCUGCAGCUCCUCUGGUUCCUUCUCGCGCGAGCACAGAGCGUUGCCGCGAUUACCACGGCAACGCUUCGGCUCUUGCGAGAGUGACCUCUAGCCCUGGAGCUACGGGCUAAAGUUUACUCUCAACACUGCGACCAUCAGGGAUUCCUGGUGGUCACAGUAGUGAGAGUGAACUCUAGCCCCAUACACACACUGCCCCCCCACACACACA